rnacentral:rRNA from 1 species
UACGGGGGGGGCAAGCGUUGUUCGGAAUUACUGGGCGUAAAGGGCUCGUAGGCGGCCAACUAAGUCGGACGUGAAAUCCCUCGGCUUAACCGGGGAACUGCGUCCGAUACUGGAUGGCUUGGGUUCGGGAGAGGGAUGCGGAAUUCCAGGUGUAGCGGUGAAAUGCGUAGAUAUCUGGAGGAACACCGGUGGCGAAGGCGGCAUCCUGGACCGACACUGACGCUGAGGAGCGAAAGCCAGGGGAGCAAACGGG